rnacentral:rRNA from 1 species
UACAGAGGGUGCAAGCGUUGUUCGGAAUCACUGGGCGUAAAGGGAGCGUAGGCGGGUUUCUAAGUCAGGUGUUUAAUCCCGGGGCCCAACCCCGGACAGGCACUUGAAACUGGGAAUCUUGAAUAGUGGAGAGGUCAGUGGAAUUGGGGGUGUAGCGGUGGAAUGCGUAGAGAUCCCCAAGAACACCAGUUGCGAAGGCGGCUGACUGGACACAUAUUGACGCUGAGGCUCGAAAGCAUGGGGAGCAAACAGG